rnacentral:ncRNA from 1 species
AUGAGGGGGCUGAUAAAUCGGCUGAGAUAAGGAUGUGAUCCUUGACCUUUAGACCUGAUCUGGGUAAUGCCAGCGUAGGAAUUAAUUUU